ACAUCUGGCUAAUUUUUGUAUUUUUUGUGGAGACGGGGUUUCACCAUGUUGCCCAGGCUGGUCUUGAACUCCUGAGCAAUCCCCAUGUCUCUACCUUGCAAAAUGUUGGGAUUACAGGCAUGAGCCACCACACCCAGCUAACUCUGUUAUCUUUGACAGGGUGGAUGAAGGGUUAAGGUUGGAGUGAGAAGGUGGAAUUCGUCUUGUCACUCUCGGCCUGCCUAGCUCCUCUUGCUCACUUACCUCCCCCAUUUUCUCACUCUGUUUAUCCUCCCUGAGUAUCUGGGGAGACUUGCACCCUACCACCUCCAACCCCCAACACCUGGGGAGGCAGUUCAGGUGGGAGCUUGGCUACCACACUGCAGGCUGCUUCUUUUCCCCGGAACCUUGAUUUUUACUCCUCAGACGUCAUCUCAGUGAUCUUCCUGCACUGGGAUUGUGGUUAAAUGUCUGUACUCAGGAUCCACAUGAGGGUGAGCCGCUCAUGGAGGGAGAGCACUUUUCCUCCACCUCAUCCCAGGCCUAGCUCGGCAUGGGGCCUGCCCUGGCUGAUUCCCAGUGAACACCUAUCGAAUAAACAGGGAAACCGAACCUUGAAAGGAAAGGGGCGUCUGCAUAUAGACAACACCUCUUUUUCUUUUUUUCUUCUUUCUUAUUUUUUUCUUUUUCUUUUUUAACUGUCUUAACCAUUUCCAAGUGUAAAAUUCAGUGCAUUAAGCACAUUCGCAGUGUUGUGCAACCAUCACCACCAUCUGUUUCGAGAACUUUCCUUCAUCCCUUACAGAAACUCUGUACCCAUUAAGCAGUAACUCCACAUUCUCUCCUCCCCCAGCCUUUAUUUUACUUUCCAUCUUUAUGAAUUUGCCUAUUCUGGAUGCCUCACAUAGGUGGAAUUGUACAAUAUUUGGCCUUUUAGAUCUGGCUUCUUUCAUUUAGUAUGUUUUCAACAUGAACCGCACCAUUUCACAUUCCC
rnacentral:lncRNA from 10 species